GAAUGGGCUCAUUAAGACUUAGGAAUUCUUUAGAGGCUCAAACACAGAAAGCCAGUGAUGGGAAAUAAGGAUGACACAGCUGAUAGCCCAUGGGAGUCCCAGGGUGAGACUAAGACUCCAUAAGAGCCAGGCUUAGACUUAUAAAGGAAUGCUGGCUGCUGAAGACAUUUCAGAACUCAAGCUAAGAAUCUCUGGCCUGCAUUCAGAAGAUACCUUUGGUCUCUGUGGUUGGCCAAAUGAUGGCUCCAAAUAUAUCCAGAUAUGAUUAUCCUGGAUAAUCUGGGUGGUCCCUCAAUGCAACCACAAGAAUCUUUAUAAAAAGGCAGAGGGAGAUUUGGCACAGAAGAGAAAGCAGUGAUCCUGGAGGUACUGAUUGGAGUGAUGUGGCCACAAGCCAAGGAAUGCCUGCAGCCUGCAGAAGCUGGAAGAGGCCAGGAAUGGAUUAUCCCCUAGAGCCCCCGGCAAGAACACGGCCCUUCCAACCCCUUGACUUUAUCACAGUGAAACUGAUGUCAGACUUCUGGCCUCCAGAACUGCAGGAGAAUAAAUCUGGAUUGUUUUAAGCCACUAAGUUUGUGAUAAUUGGUUACACCAGCCAAAGAAAACCAAGGCAGUCCUUCAUUC
rnacentral:lncRNA from 10 species